rnacentral:tRNA from 2 species
GUGAGUGUAGUUCAGUUGGUUAGAACGCUGGAUUGUGGUUCCAGAGGUCGGGGGUUCGAAUCCCCUCACUCACCCCA